rnacentral:rRNA from 1 species
UGGGGAAUAUUGCACAAUGGGCGCAAGCCUGAUGCAGCGACGCCGCGUGGGGGAUGACGGCCUUCGGGUUGUAAACCUCUUUCACCAUCGACGAAGGUCCGGGUUUUCUCGGAUUGACGGUAGGUGGAGAAGAAGCACCGGCCAACUACGUGCCAGCAGCCGCGGUAAUACGUAGGGUGCGAGCGUUGUCCGGAAUUACUGGGUGUAAAGAGCUCGUAGGUGGUUUGUCGCGUUGUUCGUGAAAUCUCACGGCUUAACUGUGAGCGUGCGGGCGAUACGGGCAGACUAGAGUACUGCAGGGGAGACUGGAAUUCCUGGUGUAGCGGUGGAAUGCGCAGAUAUCAGGAGGAACACCGGUGGCGAAGGCGGGUCUCUGGGCAGUAACUGACGCUGAGGAGCGAAAGCGUGGGGAGCGAACA